rnacentral:pre_miRNA from 1 species
AUUCUACUCCCUCCAUUGCACAAUACAUGCCUUCUAUUUGUCAAAAUAUAUAUGCGUCUAGACAUGUCUUAGUAUAUAGGUACAUCCAUUUUUGGACAAAUGGAAGUCAAGUAUUUUGGAACGGAGGGAGUACACA